UCAAAAUACAGGGUUAUUCCAGUGUUUCGGAAGACAAGUAAAUGAAUUUACCUACAUUUUGCUUCUCGGUUUCUGCUAUGUUGCUUGAUGGACUGUGCUCAUUCCAAAUGAGAUGGAGAAAUGCAAAUGAACAAAAUUGAAGGCCAAGAAAGAGACCUAAAACAUAAUGGACAUGGUGUAGCAAAUCAGCGACAGCAAAUGGAUUUGGGAAUUAGUGUCUGGUAAAAUAGUAAGACAUCUUCAAAGUCAUCACAAACGAACAUCAAAAAUCGUCAGUUUUAACGAUAAAGCACGAAUUCCAAGGCAUCAGAUAAAAAAUAGAAAUACAUAGGGAUUUGUUAUGAAUCUACUUGAAGAUAACAUGGAACCUGUUUGAUCUCAGUGGCAAGAAUAUUUAGACUCCUCGACACCU